rnacentral:rRNA from 1 species
UACGGAGGGUGCAAGCGUUGUCCGGAUUUAUUGGGUUUAAAGGGUGCGUAGGCGGCUUUUUAAGUCUGGGGUGAAAGCCCGUUGCUCAACAACGGAACUGCCCUGGAAACUGGAGAGCUUGAGUACAGACGAGGUUGGCGGAAUGGAUGCUGUAGCGGUGAAAUGCAUAGAUAGCAUCCAGAACCCCGAUUGCGAAGGCAGCUGACUAGGCUGUAACUGACGCUGAGGCACGAAAGCGUGGGGAGCGAACAGG